GUGAAAUUGUUGAAAGGGAAACGCUGGAAGUCAGUCGCGUUGGCUAGGAAUCAACCUUGCUCUUUUGCAGGGCUUACUUCUUAGUUGACGGGCCAACAUCAAUUUUGACCAUUGGAGAAAGGCUUGGGGAAUGUGGCACCUUCGGGUGUGUUAUAGACCCAGGUUGUAUACAGUGGUUGGGAUUGAGGAACGCAGCACGCCGCAAGGUAGGGUUUCGACCACACCCGUGCUUCGGAUGUUGGCAUAAUGGCUUUCAUCCACCCGUCUUGAAACACGGACCAAGGAGUC
rnacentral:rRNA from 1 species